GUACAGAAGUUAAUUCUGUAAAAUUACAUUUUGAAUAAGGAGUUGCAUGAGUACCACAUAAGUUCUUUGCAGUGUUUUCCCCUCACUACUUUUCACUGCUUCUUUGUAAAUAACCAAAUAAUUCUAUAGACCUACAUAUGUUCCAGAGUACAUGUUAUUGAGCUAAGACACUCAAUAUUGAGCCACUGAUUCUACUGACCCAUCUGACCUCUCCCCUCCUCCCCAGACUGUUCCUCCUCAGGUCACUCCCUGCCAGGCCCCACUCCCCUUUCCAUUCCUUAAAAACAGCCCUAGAAGCUGCUCCCAUGCUAGUUCUCACUAACUUGAAUUUCUGAUUAAUUAAUCUGAAGCGGGGGUCUAAUCUCGAUGUUUUUAAAUGUUCUCCCCCAGUAAUUAUCAUGUGCAUUCAUAUUUAAAAACCGCUGUUAGAGACCACACUGCUCAGCCAGCAUGGACCUUGGUGUUCCUCAGAUUGUUAUGAAAACUGUCAGGGCUUUUUCUCCAGAACUUACCUAGUUUUGAAUUAAUAAUUUGGUUAAUUUCUUGAGCACAGGUUAAACUUCCCAUUGAAAUGUAUUUUCAAGAAAUGUACACGUGAUAUGUUUUCUGGUUCUUUCAUAUGUGAGAAUGUCUUUUUCACUUCUUUACACAAGGAAAACCGAGUAAAUAUGUACUUUGGAGGAGCAAUAUUUACUCAAAUGUUAUAGAUAUUUUCUACUCUCUUCUGGAAUUUAUUGUUGCAGAAGGCAAAUCUUAUGCAAACCUUUUUUUCCUUUUUAAAUUAACUCGUGUACUUUAUUUUUUUUUUUUUUUUUUUACCAUUUUAGAGCUAUCAUC
rnacentral:lncRNA from 10 species